AUUUAUUGCCGACGCAAACUUUGCUUUACCAGUGCAGCUGCUUGGGUACUACGAGCGAGUGCUUAAAACUCAAAGAACUUGGCGGCUUGUUAACUACCUAGGGGAAUAUGCGCCUUAAUCCGAUGGUCCCCGACAUAUCUUACUGAGUCUUGAAAAAGUGCAGCUGGUGUAUUGCCGUUGUCAGCUUGUUGUUUGAGCAGAAAGAAACAGGCUUAAUGGAUUUCGGCAACAAGGUUGUUGAAACUCCGUGAAUUCAGGUCGUAAUACUGCCUAUGGCUCAAGGGAGUGGGUGUUACAAUUCAUAUUUGGAAUUACGGAUCUUAAUCGUGGAAUCUUUGAGUGAAGGUGAACUUAGGAGUAAGGACAGAUUAAUAUGCUUUCCUGAACAUGAAUCUAACUCGUGUACAAACUGCCCGUCGCUCUCGGCGAGAGCUGAGAUAAGU
rnacentral:rRNA from 1 species